AAAGUAUUACAGGACAUUGGUGAGAAGGUAGAAAUACAUGGUCAGCAUUGUUGAGGAGGAGAGCAAGAUGCCAAGCUCAGAAACCAGUUCAUAUCUACCAUGGUCCAUCUUUAAUUUGCUGUUUUGUUGUUUUCCUCUUGGAAUAGCGGCGAUCAUUUACUCCUGCCAGGUUAAGAAUGCCACUGAUCUGGGAAAUAUUGAAAGGGCCAAGAGUGCAUCUUCAAUUGCCAAAAAAUUGAACAUAGCAGCGACUGUAAUUGGAAUCAUUCUAAUAAUAUUAAUUGUUGUUAUUUAUUUUAUGACACAGAUAGUUCAAUGAUUUGCAGAUUAGCCAGGGAGGGAACAAUAUUAUUUACAAAGGAAUAUCUGGAAGAGCAACAACCAUUUCAUUUCUUACUCGCACCAAAUAAUAUUAUGCUUUGGAAUGUAUUAUACCACAAACUUCUGAUGUUUUAAAUUUGCCUGUGUUUCUUGUGGUAUGUUCUAUUCAUUCUAUGCUUGCAUAAAAUGCAUCUACAUCUGUUAAAAUGUAAAUCCUUCUGGCACAUUAUGUUGAUAUGACUGCAAAACAUUUACUCUGUUCUAUAUAUAACUACUAUUGGUAAUGAAUGAGUUAAAAUGUACUUUAAAUUAAAAAUAUUGUUUCAGCAUUUUUGUUUAAUCACUUAUAUCAUCAACUGUAAUUUCAUACUUAAAGAGUUCUCUUUUGUAAUGGAUUUAAUUAAUAUACGCUUGCACACAAAAAAGAUUCAGUGUAUAGUGCAAAUAGCUUGAUGUAAACAUUUACAUAAUGAUAUUAAAUACUUGAUUUGCAUUAACAACA